GACGAACGCUGGCGGCGUGCUUAACACAUGCAAGUCGAACGGAAAGGCCCUGCUUUUGUGGGGUGCUCGAGUGGCGAACGGGUGAGUAACACGUGAGUAACCUGCCCUUGACUUUGGGAUAACUUCAGGAAACUGGGGCUAAUACCGGAUAGGAGCUCCUGCUGCAUGGUGGGGGUUGGAAAGUUUCGGCGGUUGGGGAUGGACUCGCGGCUUAUCAGCUUGUUGGUGGGGUAGUGGCUUACCAAGGCUUUGACGGGUAGCCGGCCUGCGGGGGUGACCGGCCACAUUGGGACUGAGAUACGGCCCAGACUCCUACGGGAGGCAGAAGUGGGGAAUAUUGCACAAUGGGCGGAAGCCUAAUGCAGAAACGCCGCGUGCGGAAUGACGGCCUUCGGGUUGUAAACCGCUUUCGCCUGUGACGAAGCGUGAGUGACGGUAAUGGGUAAAGAAGCACCGGCUAACUACGUG
rnacentral:rRNA from 1 species